rnacentral:rRNA from 1 species
UACGUAGGUGGCGAGAGUUGUCCGGAUUUACUGGGUGUAAAGGGUGCUCAGGUGGAUUUGUAAGUCAGAGGUGAAAUCCCAAAGCUCAACUUUGGAGCUGCCUUUGAUACUGCAAGUCUGGAGUUUGGGAGAGGGUAAUGGAAUAUCUGGUGUAGCAGUGAAAUGCGUAGAUAUCAGAUAGAACACAAAUGGCGAAGGCAGUUGCCUGGCCCAAAACUGACGCUAAAGCACGAAAGUGUGGGGAGCAAACAGG